GAUGAAGAACGUAGCGAAAUGCGAUAAGUAAUGCGAAUUGCAGAAUUCAGUGAAUCAUCGAAUCUUUGAACGCACAUUGCGCCCGCCAGUAUUCUGGCGGGCAUGCCUGUUCGAGCGUCAUUUCAACCCUCAAGCCCUCGGGUUUGGUGUUGGGGAUCGGCGAGCCUUUCUGGCAAGCCGGCCCCGAAAUCUAGUGGCGGUCUCGCUGCAGCCUCCAUUGCGUAGUAGUAAAACCCUCGCAACUGGAACGCGGCGCGGCCAAGCCGUUAAACCCCCAACUUCUGAAUGUUGACCUCGGAUCAGGUAGGAAUACCCGCUGAACUUAAGCAUAUCAAUAAGCGGAGGA
rnacentral:misc_RNA from 1 species